GAUUCUGUAUUAAUUGCUGGGAGAGAAAGAGAAACUUGGUCAAUAAGAAAGGCAUUGCAGUUUGUUGAGAUGGAAAAACAUAGGACUUGCACAGCAAAAAAUGUUUUGGCUUGGAAUUGAAGGUAACUGCACAUAUCCAGCCUGAGUGGAGCAAUGUCCCCCUGUGAGUUAUUUCCCCCCUUAUCUCUGUUAUACACUGCUUAGCAAACUCCGAGUGCACUGUGCCCAACUUAUGCUCUCUUAAUAUGAAAUCUGAAUGAAAGCUGGAGUCAUAUAUCACUCCAGUGAAAAACUGCAAAAAGACUGGCAUGUUAUCAGUUGUUACUUCCUACAAGAGCAAGCUGUGUUGUGUGGUUGCAUUAUCUGAUACUGAGCGGGCUGGUGGGGCUGGGUGCAGCCAUUUAAAAAUGUGAUUUGUGUUUUUCUUCACAGAAAUCAGCCUAAAAUACUUCCUGGGGCUUUUCUCAGAAUCUGUGUCAGUGCAGCGAAGUAACUAGUGUCAGCUCUGUCUCAGGAGAGUAGAAAUUUAGCAUGGUGACACUAAUGUCUUUAUAAGAUGACCUAGAUUAGAAAUGUCUUGUUCCUGGUUUGCAGAAUUCUGUUCAAAUAUUUAAUAUGACUCGGAGAUGUUUUAUUUUUUCGUUUCUUCCUGUAGAGACAGAAAUAAAAUUGUUUAAAAUGCUUUUAGGAUCCAAACAGUUUCAGUGGUGAGAAUUCUAGUUCAGGAACUAGAAUUAGAAUCAGACACAUGCAGUCUGCCCCCCUGGUCUACAUACUGCUAUGGCAUGAAUAGGGAUGAGAAAUUUCCUGUGUUUUGUCUGCUGCUUAUGCCUGUAUGGAUUUCACCUUCAGAAUUUUAAAAGAUAUAUAGCUUACGAGUUAGAAGUUGGAAUUAGAUUAUAAAUGAGACUGCUGAAAAUCCAGGUUGCCUUACUCAAAGCAUGUAGGUAACUUCUUGUUGAAGCCUGGAGGGGUAGGACCAGUGCAAUCCCAGUUUUGGUCCAGUCAGAUCUGAAGUCCAGACCACAGAGCUGGCUAAUCUAAAGCAGGGGCCAGGGAUGGCUUGUCCUCACCAGGAAGAAUUUGCUGCUUUUCCCUCCCAUCUCUCUGGUUACUUCCUCAAGAUUCUGCCUGUGUUUAAAGAACCUGAAAUAAUCUGUAUAGGCAUAUGACUGGGAUGGAGAAAGGACUAUCUACUUUUUCUGUUAACAUCACCAUUUCCCCCAUGGCAUAAAGCUCCCUGUCAG